CCCUUAGAUGUUCUGGGCCGCACGCGCGCUACACUGAUGCAUUCAACGAGUUUCUUCCUGGUCCGAGAGGAAUGGGUAACCUUUUGAAAGUGCAUCGUGAUAGGGAUAGACUAUUGCAAUUAUUGGUCUUCAACGAGGAAUUCCUAGUAGACGUAGUUCAUCAGACUGCAUCGAUUACGUCCCUGCCCUUUGGACACACCGCCCGUCGCUCCUACCGAUUGAAUGCUCAGGUGAGCCAUUCGGACUUUCAUCAUGCUGGUUUCCAGUUUUGAUGAAGGAAAGUCUUGCGAACCUUAUCAUUUAGAGGAAGGAGAAGUCGUAACA
rnacentral:rRNA from 1 species